GUCCACUCAGGUCUUUUGGCUAGGACAAAGUGUAGUAUCUGUUCUUUUCAGUGUGAUAACUGAAACGAGGUAUUAUAAAUACCUCAUUGUUAUCUUACUUAUUUUUUAAACAUAAGUUAAAGAACUUCAUAGCUUACUAUGAGUUUUUAACAAUGGUAUUCUUAGUAUUGCACUAUUUCUAAGUUAUGCCAAAAUAUU
rnacentral:snRNA from 1 species